rnacentral:piRNA from 1 species
GAGGCACUGUGUAUUCUCCACUGGG